UAGAGUUUGAUCCUGGCUCAGAAUCAACGCUGGCGGCGUGCCUAACACAUGCAAGUCGAACGGGAAGGGGGGCUUCGGCUCCCCGGAGAGUGGCGCACGGGUGAGUAACACGUGGGUAAUCUGCCUUUGGGUGGGGAACAACGAUCCGAAAGGGUCGCUAAUACCGCAUAACGCAGCGGCACCGCAUGGUGACAGUUGUUAAAGGGGGGGAUCUUCGGACCUCCUGCCUGAAGAGGAGCCCGCGCCCGAUUAGCUAGUUGGUGAGGUAAUGGCUCACCAAGGCAACGAUCGGUAGCCGGCCUGAGAGGGCGGUCGGCCACACUGGCACUGAGACACGGGCCAGACUCCUACGGGAGGCAGCAGUGGGGAAUUUUGGGCAAUGGGCGCAAGCCUGACCCAGCAACGCCGCGUGAAGGACGAAAUCCCUA
rnacentral:rRNA from 1 species